UAGGCGCGAACACAGUCACUCCACUUAUUGAUUGUGCGGACGCUGAAUAAAAAGGAGGAAACUCAUCCCCUCGGCUUGGGGGUGCGGCAGUGUGGAGACCUGUCGCAACGCACGAUCGACGAAUGCGCGACGUGUGAGGCAGUUCGGUGGAGAAUUCCGGGACUGUUAAAGUCAAAGCAGUAUGGCA
rnacentral:ncRNA from 1 species